rnacentral:rRNA from 1 species
CUACGUGCCAGCAGCCGCGGUAAUACGGAAGGUCCUGGUGUUAUCCGGAUUUAUUGGGUUUAAAGGGAGCGUAGGCCGUAGAUUAAGUGUGUUGUGAAAUGUAGACGCUCAACGUCUGAAUUGCAGCGCAUACUGGUUUCCUUGAGUACGCACAACGUUGGCGGAAUUCGUCGUGUAGCGGUGAAAUGCUUAGAUAUGACGAAGAACUCCGAUUGCGAAGGCAGGUGUCCGGGCUGCAACUGACGCUGAGGCUCGAAAGUGUGGGUAUCAAACAGGAUUAGAUACCCUGGUAGUCCACACAGUAAACGAUGUAUACUCGCGGUUUGCGAUAGACAGUAAGCCGCCAAGCGAAAGCAUUAAGUAUACCACCUGGGGAGUACGCCGGCAACGGUGAAACUCAAAGGAAUUGACGGGGGCCCGCACAAGCGGAGGAACAUGUGGUUUAAUUCGAUGAUACGCGAGGAACCUUACCCGGGCUUGAACUAACGGUGACGAAUCUAGAGAUAG